rnacentral:lncRNA from 1 species
CAGGCAUUAUCGAUAGUUUAAUCUUCAUUUGGCCAUCGGAUAUCUAUCAAAUCCCAUCCAAAAAUGAGGUAAAUCUCUUCUAUCGCCUUUUCCUCAAUUUCUUAUAGGUUUUAAACUUGAAUUUUGCUGAUUUUCUAUCAGAAAAGCUCAUGAAAUCCUAACUACUGAGUUCCCUUAUUUUUCUUCCCAUUUUGUUUUGGUUUCUGUUGUUUAACCCACAGCGGGUCACUAAACCAAGCUGGCUAUCGCAGCCAUGGC